rnacentral:rRNA from 1 species
AUUGAACGCUGGCGGCAGGCCUAACACAUGCAAGUCGAACGGUAACAGGAAGAAGCUUGCUUCUUUGCUGACGAGUGGCGGACGGGUGAGUAAUGUCUGGGAAACUGCCUGAUGGAGGGGGAUAACUACUGGAAACGGUAGCUAAUACCGCAUAACGUCGCAAGACCAAAGAGGGGGACCUUCGGGCCUCUUGCCAUCGGAUGUGCCCAGAUGGGAUUAGCUAGUAGGUGGGGUAACGGCUCACCUAGGCGACGAUCCCUAGCUGGUCUGAGAGGAUGACCAGCCACACUGGAACUGAGACACGGUCCAGACUCCUACGGGAGGCAGCAGUGGGGAAUAUUGCACAAUGGGCGCAAGCCUGAUGCAGCCAUGCCGCGUGUAUGAAGAAGGCCUUCGGGUUGUAAAGUACUUUCAGCGGGGAGGAAGGGAGUAAAGUUAAUCCCUUUACUCAUUGACGUUACCCGCAGAAGAAGCACCGGCUAACUCCGUG